GCCGUAAACAAGAGGUGUACACUGCAAAAACUCUAAAAUUUCCCUUCAGAGGAAAAGUGUCUAUCUAUCUUAAUUGUUAUUUUUAUUGUUGUCUUUUAUUGUUUUUAUUGUGCCCAACCAUUCCAAUUUUGUUAAAACAAUGACCUUAUAUCUCAGCUGUCCAAUGACUUCUGAAGAUUCCCCGUAGUGCUGACAGCAUAUGCUUCAAUGUAAUAUGAUUAGUUCAGAGGUUAGUGGCACAAUUUGUUUUGGAUACUUGAAGAUGAAUCAUGAAGAAAUGCCACUUCAGUUGGUACAUUUGACGUGAACAGCCGGGCAUCACCUGCACUUCAUUGGAGUUUACCUCAAUUGGAAACUGUUUAAACUGAGAUGGAGGAUGACCAGACCUACACAGACCUUCUUGCAAGGCUGAAGAGGAAGAGGCAGCUGACUGCUGAUGAGCUUGCAUUCACAAUGCUAAAGACCAUGAGGGGGUGGAGAAAGAAGGUAUAGAUUUAGGUCGUGUGUGUAGGGCGGUACAGACUGCUACUAGAAGACUGCGUGAAGUAGACUUUUUAUGUAGUUUUUUACUCUUACUUGUUUUUUACGCUAUUGACUCAGACAUAAUGUAUUUUUUACCAUCCGGAAGGGGUGGGAGCUUGUGCUUAAAGGCCAUCAUAUGCAAAAAGUGCAGGGGCAUGGGACGUUACGUAAAGACCCCAGAAGAGUUUGACAGGUUUCUGGGAUUGAUCAUACAUGGAGUUCACUUUCCUCCCUAGUAUCCAUUGCUAUUGGAAAAUCAAGUCUCUGCAGGGAUCUUGGGCCAAAUUGUUUAUGUUGUGUAAUUGUUUUAAAGCUUUGUUGGCUGCUCUGCAAGUAGUAGAUCCAGCUUCUGUAUCAUUGACUGUAUCAUUUGCUCAUAUACAAAUACAUGGAUUCUUAUAGACCAAAUAAAUCUAAACCAUU